rnacentral:rRNA from 1 species
GACGAACGCUGGCGGCGUGCUUAACACAUGCAAGUCGAACGGUGAAGCGCCUUCCUUUUUGGUGGGUGUGGAUGAGCGGCGAACGGGUGAGUAACACGUGAGUAACCUGCCCCCUUCUUCUGGAUAACCGCAUGAAAGUGUGGCUAAUACGGGAUAUUCUGGGUCUGUCGCAUGAUGGGUCUGGGAAAGAUAUUGUUUCGGUGUGGGAUGGGCUCGCGGCCUAUCAGCUUGUUGGUGGGGUGAUGGCCUACCAAGGCGGUGACGGGUAGCCGGCCUGAGAGGGUGGACGGUCACACUGGGACUGAGACACGGCCCAGACUCCUACGGGAGGCAGCAGUGGGGAAUAUUGCACAAUGGGCGCAAGCCUGAUGCAGCGACGCCGCGUGAGGGAUGGAGGCCUUCGGGUUGUGAACCUCUUUCGCCAGUGAAGCAGGCCUGCCUCGUUUGUGGGUGGGUUGACGGUAGCUGGAUAAGAAGCGCCGGCUAACUACGUG